AGAUCCGGUGGCUGGGAUUCCUCGGGAACCAUUUGAAGGAACAAGCCAGCUGGGCACUGCACGCGUGACAGGAGACAGGAGCAAACAGGCAACACUGAGCUACUGAAAGAGAAUUCUGCAGAUUCAUAGGAAAAAUGGUUUCCCUAAGCAGAACCCCUCUCUGGCUACCUGUGACUCGCAGUCCAGCAGGCGGAUGGACUUGUCAUUCACUUGCAGCAGCAUCUCCUGUGUCCAAAUCUUCUCCUUGGAGUUGAGCAAUAGGAGUUUUCGGAUGGCGUCAUCCACUGUCACGAUGGACUCGCUCUUGUCCAUGAUGAAGGUGGCCAAAUGCUGAAGUUGAGAGGGAAGGAGGAGAAAACAGGUGAAAAAGCUUUGGUGAUGGGUGUAUUGUGAGUCACUGGUAAAACCAUCUCCAGAGGUCUGGACAGUUGUUUGUUCUUUACUGCAUGGGCACGACAGAGUCGCUGUGCAAAGCGUGCAUUCUGGUUGUUAGCACCAGUCUGUUCACUGGUGAAAGAUUAGGUUUGGUAAUACAGCAGGAGUUUUCAUAACAAGUUUCACCGCUUGCAUAUUUAUCUCAUUGUAUGUCAGCUCUGGCAGCUCUGGCCCCUGUCCAGCAGCACGCGUUUGCAAGUGCUUUGUAAGUGUGAGCCAGCCCCCUAUUUUUUCCUGAAGCCAUAAGACAGCUGAUUCUGCUCCAGCCUUUGGAUCCCUUCGCGCUGCUUUUCCAUCCAAGUUACGCAAAUUGCUUUCAUGGGAGUGAAAAUGAGCCUCUCUGACUAUACAAAGUCUUUGCUUCUUGCCCCUGUCCCGCACCAUGGCUUUGCUGGAUUUCCCUGGUCUUCCUCCCUCCCUCCGCUUGUCCUAUAAACCCAGCCUAGGCCUCUUCUCUCCUCCAGCCUGAUUUCCAUGCUGUCCUCCCCUCUUUGUGCUGCCUGACCAAUGCACUUGGGCCGGGGACAGACCUGAUCGGAUGGCAAUGUCCCGGACAUGACUGCACUUGCACACUUUCCCAGCCCUGUUCUGUGUCCUGAAGCAACGAUCCAGGCAUUACACUUGGCACUGAAUUUAUGAAGGCUUGUGUAAUCGAGCGGCACCUGCAGGCUUGCGACUGCUGGCAGGGCUCCACGCGAGGGGAGUCUCGGCAGGGUAGGGCAGGGGGGAGUUGCAGGAAGGAGAAGCAUCUGUUGCAUACAAAUAAUCCACAUGUCCCCCAGCAGUGGGUAAAGGCUACUUCAGAAAUCCAGCUAACUUAUUCCUCUCCUCUCUGAACACAGCUCGCAGCGUGCUGUGGGUGGAGAAGACGUGCAUCUGCCAGCAGAGGGGACUGCAAGGCAGGAGAAGCCAGCUCAGGCCAGCCAGGCUGUUAUCUGUGCAGUCAUCCCUGUGUGAGGGACGGCACGGUCAGUCCAUGUGUUCAAGUGACAUCAGAGGAAGGGAAAUGUGAGGGAAGCAGAAAGAAAUUGUCCCGUUUCACCUUGUUCCCUCUGCUCUGCUGUGUUCCUGGUGACGAGAAGGGAAGAGUCUACCUGAGUGGGAAAACAGCUGAAAGUGUUCCCUGUUGUAACCAUCUUCUUCCAGGAGGGGAAGGAAGGAGGUUUUUGCAAGGGCACAUUAUAGGCCUGACCAACACAUCUGUGCUGCAGCUGUGCUAGGGCCUGCUUCCAGGGGGCUUAUCAGGGCAGAUCCUUGCUCUUCUCUUCCCCAGAAUAUCUCUGGCUUAGCCACUAGCCACUGUUGCCUUACUUAAUACCAUUAGGAUAAGUAACGUAGAAUCACGGAACGGGUUGCUGCUGAGUGAUGAUGCAUCAGGGGUCAGGGUCCAGAUGGUGCAAAGAGACAGGUUUUGUCUGAGAAGGCUGGCAAGCAAGAGCUGCAAACUGCGAGAACAGAAAAAGGCUGGGGGAAAAUGUGUCUGUUCCCAGCACGUUGGCUCGUGCUGGUUAGAGUUCACAACAGCUGCGUGCCUCGGAGAGCAGCAAAGGAGGAUGAGAGUGUUCUGCUAUGAGGAGGAAGUCCUUUCCUACCUACAAAAAUCUAGGAUGAUGCACAGUGAGCAGGGAACAAACUAUGAGGUAGCAAAAGCCAACCCUGCUCCAGCACCAGAGGGGAAACCGUCAGUGUUCUGCAGUGGAAAUAGGCAACAAAGGAGAGGCCAUGGCCACUGGGGUAUGAAAUGGAUCAGAUGGGCCCAGAGCAUCCACGGCACCAGAGCCUUGGGUGGUGGUGCUGAAGCACAGGUGAGAACCAUCACUGCAGCUGGUUCUGUACAAGAUGUGUAUGCAAGGCGAAAAAGCUCGGAUUGAGGCAGCCCUAACAGGAUGAAGGGGUUGUGUCUUUAAUGGUGACAGUCAACAUUAGGGAUGGAGAGAACUUGUGGUUGCUAAGGUGAUUGUUGGAUCGUUCCCAAAGACUGGAUAGACCAGAGAGGAGGACAAACACCGCAGAGCUUACACGAUGGCCCAGUUCUGUGCUCGUGAAGCAAAGGUAUGGGGUGAGGCACUAUCUAAAUAAAACUCCUGGCAGGUAUUUGAGCAGCUACACCGAAAGCUGAGGUUAGCCGUGCAAUCAGAUAUGAAGAACGUGCUUGGGUAUGUGUUACUGUAAUUGUAAAACGCUGCACAAAAAGCUAUUUGCAAAGUCAAUAUUAUGCCAAACCCUUUGCCUUCUGAGCAGUGAGGGGAAUUGGUUUAUACCUGCUGACAGGCAUUCUUAUCUGCUCUAUUUGUGAUAAGUGCGAGGUUUACAAUCUGCAUAAAUUCCUUAGUUAUUUACUGGGAAAUAAGUUAAUUUUCAGGGAGUGAAAUCUACUUGUCUGGCUCAGGCUCAUUAAAAUAUUUUUCCUUUCCAUUUUCUUCAGAUAAUGCUGGAGUGAGGGGAAUAGAAGCUCGUUCUUCUCUUUAUCUGAUUAAACCCCCCCCCCCCCCCGUCCAGAGGGAGAAUCAAAUAGGCCAACUUUUCUAAGAAUGGGCAAUUACUGCUUCCACUUUUAAGGCCUGAUCAACUUAAAGAUUACUUGCAGGGUGUGAAAUGCCUUUAUAAGGAAACCGCUUCCUGCCUCACUGCCUGCCACUGAAGCCCUGUUUGCUUUGGUCAAAGUUCAAGGCAGAAACUCACAAAUGAGUGGCAUAUGGCAUAAGUAAUGAAGAAUCCAUGUACGUGUCACUGUUUAAAGUCCCUUCUGUGACUCCGUGAGUGAUUUUAUUUGGCAGGGCUCACUGAUGGGGAUGGUUGGCCAGGCUCUUAGCUUCUCGGGUGGUCUUUGAAAGUCUAAAUUGCAUUUCAAGCCAGUGAGCAGGCUCCUCUGUUUCUAACUGGACCGAGGCCUUAAACCAGAGGAAAGAGGACCCUUCCUGCCACCUAUAAACCUCAUCAAGUGUGUUCCUUUCUUGCCUUGCCAGGUUUCAGUGCCCAGUGACCCAGCUGUCCCCGGCCAGGUGGAGCUCCUGCUGGCUGGCAGCGGCACAGGCUGGCUGCCUCUCUUCCAGUAGGUGUCUGUGACACUGGAAGCCCAAUUUGGCUGAAUGCCUGUCAUGGCUGAAGGGUUUUGAAUUACUGGAGAGGACACAGUAGCUGAGGGAGAGCUGAAAAAUGAUAGGUGAUGUGCCCUGUGCGGUUUGGGCAGCAACCGUCACAGCCAGGAGGAUCUCGCAGCAGAGCAGACACUGGGGCUCCUUGUGUUUUAAAGAAGCAUAUGGGAGUCUUAGCUUAUUUGUGGUUUACUUCAAAGCUUCUUGAGUGCCUUCAGUGCGAUGCUGGCUUCUCCGUUUUGUUCCCUGGUGCUUUGAGUACAGAGCAUGGUGACGUGGGGAGAGAUGUAAGUGAAACUUCCCAAGCUGUUCCUUCGGUUUAUAACACCAGUAGCGUGCCACGUUUUGAUGGAAAAACAUUCCCCAGAGACUUAAAUGAAGUAUUGGCGCUGUUUGUGUCAGCCUCCUGGUUGCUUCCAAACCAUGGAGUCUAAGAUCUACCAAGCCUGUCCUUGACAUCCACUCCAGAGCCACAGAGAAUGGGCAAGUGGCUGUGAAGUAAUUAGGCCAAUGCUUAACGUGUGUUCUCCUUUAAGCCCUGCAUGCAGGAGAGUGCUAGCAAGGAGUAACUUAAGUGAACAGAGCAUGCUGCUGUUACACGAGCAGAAAACAAACCCCAAAGCAUCAUCCAGGGGCUUCAGCUAGGUGCUAAGGGGUUCCUAGCAUCCCCUUCUCACCUGGAUGGCUGUGAUUUGCUCUGACUCCCAGCUGAUCCUGUGCAAAGAGAGGAGGAGCUGGCCUGGAUCCACUACUGAUUUUUCUCACAGCUGACAGGAAUUAAAAUAUCCACCGCGUGCAUGCUUUCUUGGCACUGCUUGCCAGGAUUUCUGCACAUCCUUCCUGACGAGGGUUGUGCCCCUCCAUGUAACAUGCAGUUACACGCCUCAGUUUUCCUGCCUGGAACUGGGUGUGAUUUGGAGCCAGCCCUGUGCUUGGAUCCAAAUCCCACUGGUUUGGAUUGAACAAGCUCACAUGUCCCAAGUCUUCAAGACUGUCAGUGUUCUGCUCAGAGCUCUCAGCCCGUUCCCUGCCCUGCUUGAGUCAAGCACAGGUCCGUGGCUCUUGCUUUGGGUUCCACCUCUUUAACCUUUUCCCUGGACUCUUGGGCGUCUGUUAGCUGUUUAUUUCUGCUUGGCUUCCGUCGAGGCAGGAGGAAGGAGUGCAGGCGCUGCCAGCAGGUGUCUCUCCAGAACAAGCACUGGCCUGAAGAGUUGUUUUCCUUGGGAUUUAACUUGGGAUUUUCAACUUUGCAGGACCAGGAGAGCUGUUAGAUUGAGCCCCUCUUUGUACUUCUUCAAAGGCACGGGGCCCAGCACUGGUAGCAGAGCUGCCUGCAGAUGCAAGAGCAUCCUAAAUAAACAUACAAACUGGGCCCAGAGAGGUGAAAAUGAAAAGGGAUGCUGGUGCUUUUGGUCAAAGCCUGGUGAGGGUUGAUAGGUGCAGAUUUCGAAUGCGUUUUAUUUUGAAGCCUAUAAGAUGUCUCAUCAGCGUGGCAGGACACCUGUGUACUUUGCACCUUGCACCUGUAUGCCUGUCGCUGAAAGCACAAGAGCGUGCUUUGCUUCCACAGCUGAUUCCUGGUGGCACCAAAGUGGCUGCUGUGUGCAGGAAGAAGCAAGGAUCCAGGCUGUACAUCACAAAACAGGCAAUUGCAGGCCACCUCUACCCGAGAUGUGGAUGCUUUAAGGAAAGCUGGGUUUUGGUAUGUUUGCUUCACAGCAGCGUGAUGAAACAUUGCAGACCUCUCUCUGGAUUCAUCAUUAUUUGCCUCAGCUUAAGUCUGGCUCUGGUGAUGCUGGGCCGAAGUAAACGUGCCCCGCACAGAAUAACACUACGAAUCUUGGGGGAAACUUUUUGUUGGCAAAGCGAGCUCUUUGCCGGAAGAGAUUUCAGAAAACAGGACGCUUGGCCAAGUGGCUCCCGCACUGCAUCGCCUUGCCCUCCUCCAUCUGCUUAAUUUUGUAUGAAAGAACGCUGGCACAUUUCCUCCUGGUUUAUCCGACACCACUCGUGCUGGAAAUACUUUGCAUUUCUACAGCAUCUUGCAAUGGAGAAGACCCAAGCGCGGUAAGGUGUCACCCACUCCACACUGAGUCCUCGGGAGGAAUCUGCAUAAUCCCCAGGUGAUGAAUAGGAGUCAUAGGAAUUUAAAGGUGGUUUUCAGAUGGCAGCCGCUGUCAGAACCUAAACGCCAACAUGCACCUCUGUUUAAGUGAGUCAUCUGCUGCAUUCCUUGAGAGGCUGCCGCGGUGGAGGGCUACAGGAUGCAAGGCAGGCUGGAUUGCAAAGAGCAGGAGAGCUGUGGGACUGUGGCACUCGUACAGCAAACAUCUGAAGGUGAUAAAAGCUGGCGUGAGCCCCACAGUGACCACUGCUGGACUUUUUCCCUUCUGCCUGCCAGGACAGCCAAAGAGAAUGGAAAACAAUGGAGCUUUGUUCCUUGCUUUUUGGUGUCUGGCAAGAAAAAUCUCUCCUAACAUGAAGAUCAUCGCCCUUUCCUAAGCAGCUGACUUUACUGUUGCCUCAUUCCUACAGGUGUGGGAGAAGCCGCAAAGCCAUUCUCUGACGAAUGUUAUGUGUCACCAGUAUCUUACAGACACACAGCGCUGCAGAAAUGGUGUUUCCACUGGCACCGGUGGCCAGAUGAGGAAAAGGGAAAAGCUGAGACCACUGCAGAGGCAGCAAGGUGGACUUGACCCACUCAAAAUGGGCCAAAAACUACGUGCUGAGCUGAAAAUCCAGUGAAGACAGGCCAAAAUCCUGUUUGGAAGGGAGGUCGUCCUGCUUGGCUUUGUGUUAAUGAGUGAGAAGAUAGAACUGAGAGGGAAAAAAAAA